AUCGCUGGUGGGCACCUUGUCUCCCGGGCAGACGCUCUCCACUUCCUGGUACAGCCGCUCCUGGAUCUCCGGCUCACUCGCCAUGUGGUACAGCGCCCAGGAGAUGGUGUUGGACGUCUGCAGAGGGUCAAAGCAGUUCGGUGAUGCUCCCCAGCACCUCGUGGACGGACAUCUGCUCGCUGACCAGCAGGUGUGUCAGUGAAUAGGUGGUCCCAGACGGCCACAAAGUGCUUCCAGAAGGGCAGGUAAGGCCAGAGAGAUUUGGGGAAGAGCACGAUGAUGGGGGAGAGGCGGAACAUCUCCCCCACGGAGAAGAUGAACCUCUCAGUCUCCUCAGGAACCUUUUCAUUCAGGCAGCCCAGACGCGUCUCAAACAGCACGGAGGAAAUGCCUACGGCAGGAGAGAGAGACCACAAUUCAUUACGGUUCCCCAGGCACUAGGAUUCAACCUUGAAAGGUGAACUUGGAAGUGUGAUCAACUCUUCCAGGACCUGUCUGUAUCAGCCUUCAAGGUGAACUUGGAAGUGUGAUCAACUCUUCCAGGACCUGUCUGUAUCAGCCUUCAAGGUGAACUUGGAAGUGUGAUCAACUCUUCCAGGACCUGUCUGUAUCAGCCUUCAAGGUGAACUUGGAAGUGUGAUCAACUCUUCCAGGACCUGUCUGUAUCAGCCUUCAAGGUGAACUUGGAAGUGUGAUCAACUCUUCAAGGACCUGUCUCUAUCAGCCUUCAAGGUGAACUUGGAAGUGUGAUCAACUCUUCCAGGACCUGUCUGUAUCAGCCUUCAAGGUGAACUUGGAAGUGUGAUCAACUCUUCAAGGACCUGUCUGUAUCAGCCUUCAAGGUGAACUUGGAAGUGUGAUCAACUCUUCAAGGACCUGUCUGUAUCAGCCUUCAAGGGCACAACAAAAUUAUGUAUGUGCAGAGCUGACUAACACACUGCUGCACCCAACCAAGUUCACAAGAAACACAAUUAUGUCGUAACCUCUGACAAAACCUGUGGCCAUGAGAUUAUUGACAGAGGAACUAUUUGGCAUGUAGACAUAAGAUGAGAUAAGACAUAUCCUAGACUGUAGUUGUACAUUGAUAUGAAUGAAGUUAGAGUGAGGGGAGACAGCGGUACACUGUGCACUGACACGAUGGCUAGACCGAAGGGUUAAGGUACACUGAAGUCAUCAUGUAGAACAAAAUUACGCCAAGGACUAAACUCUAAGGCAUAUGGAUAAGUAAGGCCUGGAUAGGUUUCAGUCCAUUUGUUUGAAACUAGUGUAGUAUGCAGCGCAGGCAUGAAUUUGUGGGGCAGACUUAGACUUUUUACAGUCACAAACCUGCACUGAAGUGCAUUGAAUGUCAUCAACACACUGGUUGAUAGUGGUUCACCGGUUACUGGUCAGCUCAAUUAUAAAGCCUGCCUGUCUAGUAUUGAAACACCCAUUGCCUUACCUUCAA